rfam:Schistosoma mattheei strain Denwood, Zambia genome assembly, scaffold: SMTD_scaffold0010024
AUCCAGCUGACGAGUCCCAGAUGGGACAAAACGCGCUUCCUGGAU